rnacentral:pre_miRNA from 1 species
CAUGCAUCAGUGGGGUCCCUCGGCCUGGCCUGUGCCCUCUUACAAUCUGGGUCCCCUCAGGGGAUGUAAGAGAGCCAGUUUCAGCCUGAUCCCACAGGCCAGGCCGAGGGACACCACUGGUGCACA